rnacentral:lncRNA from 1 species
CAUCAUCCCAAGCGUCCCGGCGGCCACCACCACAAACCUGCUGUUCCUCCUACGGCUCACACACCAACUGUAGCUCCAGUUCACCCACCAAGUGUCGCUCCGGUGCACCCACCCAGAGUGGCUCCUGUUCACCCACCGAUCAAGGCGCCUGUGCAUCCUCCAACCAAGGCCCCUGUACGUCCUCCGACCAAGGCGCCAGUGCAUCCUCCGACAAAGGCACCUGUGUAUCCACCGACCAAGGCACCUGUGCAUCCACCAACCAAGGCGCCUGUUCAUCCACCAAGUCACUCACCGGCUCCGUCACACGCACCUCUUCCGACACGGAGGCAGGUGGCGGUCCGUGGUAUGGUUUACUGCAAAGCUUGCAAGUACAAGGGUAUUGACACACUCGUU